rnacentral:pre_miRNA from 1 species
CUCACCUGGGGAAUCUUGUUAAAAUGCAGAAUCUGACUCAGGGGAUCUGUGGUAGGACCUGAGAUUCUGCAUUUCUGACCAGCUCCCAGGUGAUGCCAG